AUUUGGAACAUCCCACAGGUGUGCAGGCUAAUUGGGAACAGGUGGGUGCCAUGAUUGGGUAUAAAAGCAGCUUCCCAAAAAAUGCUCAGUCUUUCACAAGAAAGGAUGGGGCGAGGUACACCCCUUUGUCCACAACUGCGCGGAGCUGACGGGCCGACAGAGCGGCAGGGCACGCUGGACCCCGGCCCAAGAUGGCAGCGAGGAGGCGGAGAAGUCGAGUGGGCGGCGAGGGGAGGAGGAGGAGAGAUGGGAGGAGUUGGAGAGCAUGCAACACCUGCAGCAGUGAAUAGAGAGCGGAAGAGACGGAGAGCAAGACGGGGGCGGCUGAAAAGCGCCCGAGGAGCGAGCAGUGGAGGAAGGAGCUGAAAAGUGACCAGACCUGCAGACAGAGCUUAUUGAAAAAUAAAGCAAGUCAAACCUGCUCAAGCAAUGUCCUUCCUUGAUGGUCCUGGGAACCCGCAUGACGGCA